CUUGUAUUCCCUCCGUCCGAAAAUACUUGUCAGUGAAAUGGAUGUAUCUAGAUGUAUUUUAGUUCUAGACACAUCCAUUUUGAUGACAAGUAAUUUUGGACGAAGGGAGUACUUG
rnacentral:pre_miRNA from 1 species